rnacentral:rRNA from 1 species
UACGUAGGGUGCAAGCGUUGUCCGGAAUUAUUGGGCGUAAAGAGCUCGUAGGCGGUUUGUUGCGUCGGCUGUGAAAUCCCGAGGCUCAACCUCGGGUCUGCAGUCGAUACGAGCAAACUAGAGUGUUGCAGGGGAGACUGGAAUUCCUGGUGUAGCGGUGAAAUGCGCAGAUAUCAGGAGGAACACCAGUGGCGAAGGCGACUACCUGGCCUGUUCUUGACGCUGAGGCGCGAAAGCUAGGGGAGCAAACGGG